rnacentral:rRNA from 1 species
AGAGGGUGCAAGCGUUAAUCGGAAUUACUGGGCGUAAAGGGUGCGUAGGUGGUUAGAUAAGUUAGGUGUGAAAGUCCUGGGCUUAACCUGGGGAUUGCGCCUGAUACUGUUUAACUAGAGUACUGUAGAGGAAGGUGGAAUUUCCGGUGUAGCGGUGAAAUGCGUAGAUAUCGGAAGGAACAUCUGUGGCGAAGGCGACCUUCUGGACAGAUACUGACACUGAGGCACGAAAGCGUGGGGAGCAAACAGGAUUAGAUACCCUGGUAGUCCACGCUGUAAACGAUGAAGACUGGCUGUUGGGAACCUACGGGUUUUUAGUAGCGAAGCUAACGCGUUAAGUCUUCCGCCUGGGGAGUACGGCCGCAAGGCUA